rnacentral:rRNA from 1 species
UGCAGUCGAGCGAAUGGAUUGAGAGCUUGCUCUCAAGAAGUUAGCGGCGGACGGGUGAGUAACACGUGGGUAACCUGCCCAUAAGACUGGGAUAACUCCGGGAAACCGGGGCUAAUACCGGAUAACAUUUUGAACUGCAUGGUUCGAAAUUGAAAGGCGGCUUCGGCUGUCACUUAUGGAUGGACCCGCGUCGCAUUAGCUAGUUGGUGAGGUAACGGCUCACCAAGGCAACGAUGCGUAGCCGACCUGAGAGGGUGAUCGGCCACACUGGGACUGAGACACGGCCCAGACUCCUACGGGAGGCAGCAGUAGGGAAUCUUCCGCAAUGGACGAAAGUCUGACGGAGCAACGCCGCGUGAGUGAUGAAGGCUUUCGGGUCGUAAAACUCUGUUGUUAGGGAAGAACAAGUGCUAGUUGAAUAAGCUGGCACCUUGACGGUACCUAACCAGAAAGCCACGGCUAACUACGUGCCAGCAGCCGCGGUAAUACGUAGGUGGCAAGCGUUAUCCGGAAUUAUUGGGCGUAAAGCGCGCGCAGGUGGUUUCUUAAGUCUGAUGUGAAAGCCCACGGCUCAACCGUGGAGGGUCAUUGGAAACUGGGAGACUUGAGUGCAGAAGAGGAAAGUGGAAUUCCAUGUGUAGCGGUGAAAUGCGUAGAGAUAUGGAGGAACACCAGUGGCGAAAGCGACUUUCUGGUCUGUAACUGACACUGAGGCGCGAAAGCGUGGGGAGCAACAGGAUUAGAUACCCUGGUAGUCCACGCCGUAACGAUGAGUGCUAGUGUUAGA